GAAAUCAUACUAUACAGAAUCAUUUCUGUAGUGUGUGUUUCGCAGUCCCAACUAAAGGGCGAUACCUGUCCACCGCGAUGAACGGGUGACGGGCGAGUCGCGAGCGGGAAGAACGCUUCGUGCGCUGAGGACCGUGGGGUGGCCGCAAGGCAGCUCCAGUGACUCGCUCUUCUGAGCGGU
rfam:Heligmosomoides polygyrus genome assembly, scaffold: HPBE_scaffold0006202